GUAAGGGAUAUUGCGCAAUGGGCGAAAGCCUGACGCAGCAACGCCGCGUGAAGGAUGAAGGCCUUCGGGUCGUAAACUUCUUUGGCGCGGGACGAGGAAGGACGGUACCGCGCGAACAAGUCACGGCUAACUACGUGCCAGCAGCCGCGGUAAAACGUAGGUGGCAAGCGUUAUCCGGAUUUACUGGGCGUAAAGCGUGUGCAGGCGGCUGUUCAAGUGGUGUAUGAAAUCGCCCGGCUCAACCGGGCGGGGUUAUGCCAGACUGAACGGCUCGAGUCUGAAAGAGGGUGGUGGAAUUCCGGGUGUAGUGGUGAAAUGCGUAGAGAUCCGGAGGAACCCCAGAGGCGAAGGCGGCCACCUGGUUCAGCACUGACGCUCAGACACGACAGCAUGGGGAGCGAACGGGAUUAGAUACCCCUGUAGUCC
rnacentral:rRNA from 1 species